CGAGUAGGGCUACACACGUGCUACAAUGGCGCAUACAAAGAGAAGCGACCUCGCGAGAGCAAGCGGACCUCAUAAAGUGCGUCGUAGUCCGGAUUGGAGUCUGCAACUCGACUCCAUGAAGUCGGAAUCGCUAGUAAUCGUGGAUCAGAAUGCCACGGUGAAUACGUUCCCGGGCCUUGUACACACCGCCCGUCACACCAUGGGAGUGGGUUGCAAAAGAAGUAGGUAGCUUAACCUUCGGGAGGGCGCUUACCACUUUGUGAUUCAUGACUGGGGUGAAGUCGUAACAAGGUAACCGUAGGGGAACCUGCGGUUGGAUCACCUCCUU
rnacentral:rRNA from 1 species